AAUUAAUUUUGUGAAGUUGUCAUAUGCAUUAUUAAUCAUGUUUAUCGCAACGUUUAAACUUUUACGUUUCUAAAAAAAAAUAAGAACGGUACCCGGAUGGCUCCUAACUUUUCGCAAAGAGGGCACCAAAAUCCUUAAUUAAAACGAAGAUUUAUCUCGGGAAAUACGGCCAAUUUCGUCGAGUUGUCUUUACAACGUCAAUAAACUUGGUAAUAGGAGGAGGUUCUUUGAAAUAGGUACGGUCCUUUUUUACCGGAAAUUAUCAUAAAUUUGUAACCAUAUGGUAAAAUAAUAAAUUUUUUUUUAAGUAA